rnacentral:rRNA from 1 species
CCUACGGGAGGCAGCAGUGAGGAAUAUUGGUCAAUGGGCGGAAGCCUGAACCAGCCAAGUAGCGUGCAGGAUGACGGCCCUACGGGUUGUAAACUGCUUUUAUACGGGAAUAACGCGCCUUACGUGUAGGGCUUUGCAUGUACCGUAUGAAUAAGGACCGGCUAAUUCCGUGCCAGUAGCCGCGGUAAUACGGAAGGUCCGGGCGUUAUCCGGAUUUAUUGGGUUGAAAGGGAGCGUAGGCCGCAGCACAAGCGUGCAGUGAAAUGUCCGGGCUUAACCCCGGCAUUGCAGCGCGAACUGGGCAGCUUGAGUGCGCGGAAGGUAAGUGGAAUUCGUCGUGUAGCGGUGAAAUGCGUAGAUAUGACGAAGAACACCGAUUGCGAAGGCAGCUUGCUGGAGCGGAACUGACGCUGAUGCUCGAAAGCGCGGGUAGCGAACAGGAUUAGAUACCCGAGUAGUC